CCCGGUGUCUUUAGCGCAGUGGUCACACCUGUUCCCAUCCCGAACACAGCAGUUAAGCGCUGCAGCGUCGAUGGUACUUGGGGUUCGCCCCUGGGAGAGUAGAUCGGUGCCGGGU
rnacentral:rRNA from 1 species